UACAGAGGGGGCAAGCGUUGUUCGGAAUUACUGGGCGUAAAGGGCGCGUAGGCGGCCUGCUAAGUCGAACGUGAAAAUCCCCCGGGCUCAACCCGGGGAACUGCGUCCGAUACUGGCAGGCUUGAAUCCGGGAGAGGGAUGUGGAAUUCCAGGUGUAGCGGUGAAAUGCGUAGAUAUCUGGAGGAACACCGGUGGCGAAGGCGGCAUCCUGGACCGGUAUUGACGCUGAUGCGCGAAAAAGCCCAGGGGGG
rnacentral:rRNA from 1 species